rnacentral:rRNA from 1 species
UACAGAGGGUGCGAGCGUUAAUAGGAAUUACUGGGCGUAAAGGGCGCGUAGGCGGGCUUAUAAGUCAGAUGUGAAAGUCCUGGGCUUAACCUGGGGAUUGCAUAUGAAACUGUAGGUCUGGAGUGAAGUAGAGGGUGGCGGAAUUUCCGGUGUAGCGGUGAAAUGCGUAGAUAUCGGAAGGAACACCAGUGGCGAAGGCGGCCACCUGGACUUUAACUGACGCUGAGGCGCGAAAGCGUGGGGAGCGAACAGG